rnacentral:lncRNA from 10 species
GGAAAGUGGGCAAGGCAGAAUUCUAGUUUCUAUAAAUAUUAUAUGAUUCUUUUAAUUUGGAAAGAAUCAAAAUUCAUUUGGCCUAAAAUAUUUGGAUACGUGUCUCAAUUACUCUGUUAGUGUAAGCCCGACCUCCUCUCUGCUAGCAGAAAGAAUUGGCAGACAAAAUACAUGCUGGUGACUCAGUGUGAGGUGUUCUCUCCUCCUUGGGGGGACGAAGCGGGAGCAGAGAACACUGAAGCCAGAGGCACUGACUUAAAAUGGAGCAUCUGAUCCUUAAAGAUCCCCUGGUAUUUGUUGUCAGAGAUGUCAGCUGGAUUUCAGUUCAGAUAAUUACAUUUUGCUUGUCUAAUGCCCCUAGCAAUUUCCAGUGGGAUCUUCAUUUCCCAUCAGAAAUUGCUCUGCAUGUGAUGCUGUGCUUCAUUAAACAACUGCCGUGUGCUAGCUCACAGGUGGUGUUUGUUUCAGUGGUCACUGAAGUAAUCUCUCCGCAGGCCCAUGCCAGCCAUACUGCCCAGACUUGAAUUCUCUCCAGAGAAGUUUCUCAUCCAAGAUCCCCAGUAAAGAAAGGACUACUGAAGGAAAAAGGAAAGAAAAUAGAGCUUCUUUCAUCUUUAUUCUGGGGUUUUCUGCAAUUUUUUUAAAGAGAAAGACAACUUUAGAAGAAAAGUUAAAGUCGGUAUUUCCAACUUGUUGCUGAUAUGAUGAAGCUCUUUAGUGAAAAACCAAAAUCCUACUGUCUGAGAAAAGCAUCACAUCAGCAAUGUCAUAGGUAAGCUACAUAAAAAGGAGUUUGCUUGGUGAGCAAUGGUGGAGUGAGGCUCAUGAUUUGAGUAUUUCAAGAUGUCAACUAAGGGCACCUCAACCAAAUGCACCUCAUGCCCACUGACUCAACAGGUCGAGACCUUAAGGAAAUGCGGCAUUCCAUUGCAUAAUGCUUCAAUAUGAGUUAACAAGACAAAUGAGCAGAGAAACUAUGACUCUCCAUGCUGCAGAAGGAAAAUGCUCCUAGCGAACAUCUGCUUUGGGACCAAGGACAGAACCCAGAGGGCUAACAAAGAAGCACCAUGGAGUUGGUACACAGACCUCUGAGAACGGAUCCUAAAUGGCUAUCGCUGCUACCUGGCAUCUCACCAGAGAACUGGUUCUGGAAGCUCUCAAGGAAGGUUGAAGCUUUUAACUGCUACUGACCAAUACAGGAAAAACAGAAAUGUGUAAGUCCCUUCUCUCUUUUCCUUGCCUUCUAUCGGCAAAACUUAACGGGAAAUCAUUUGACUAAUGGGAAAAUGUAGUUUACAGAGUCAUCAUAAAGAAGAGUACUGAAGGGUGCUUUGGAACCAAGAGCUAAUAGGUCAGUAGCUGGCACAGACUCGCCAUCUCACCCAGAAUAAAAGCUAAAAUCCUGUAGUGAUCUAUAGUUACUACAUAACCCAGUCCCUUGUCACUCUCAAUUUCAUCUCACUCCUCCUGCUCCUGCCAUAGAGACGCCUUGAUCCUUCUUGAACACACUAGGCAUGUUCUCAUCUCACACCCUUCGCACUCAGUGUUCAUUCUGCCUGAAACGCUCUUCCCUGAGAUCUUCAUGGCUCACUCCCUCAUUUCCUUCCAUUCAAUCAUUACUCUCUCAGCGAGGCCCUCCUUAGAUUUUCCUCCUACAGUUUCACCUCACAGUGGCAUCUUA